GGUGGCUCAGUGGUAGAGUGCUUGUCUUGCAUGCAUGAGGCCCUAGGUUUGAAUCCUCAGCACCA
rnacentral:tRNA from 1 species